rnacentral:lncRNA from 1 species
GAAGGGGAUUUGUUGAGUUCAAGUUGUUCCUCUGCUAGUUUUAGGAGGUAAGAGAGGUCUUUAUACUUGUUUUAUGGUUUUAACAGCUUUUAAAGAGGUUAAGGGUAGAGUUGCAUGUUUAGGUUUUAGAGUUUAGUUUUGAUGUUUUAAUGGUGAAAGCAUGAUUAUAUGUUGUGUUAGUUGUUUUGUUGGAGUUUAAGUUGUUUUAAGCUCCUUUAUGCUUGUUAAAGUGUUUAUGCAUGUUUUAGAGGGGUUAAAUGCAUGUAUUGAGGGCUGAGCAGGUGAUGGAGGGACUGGCAGGCGUCCUUGUGCACAAAACUGAGUUUUGGAUGAACUCAGGUUCGGCCGCCGAAAGUCCAAGUUAGGCC